UACGUAGGGUGCGAUCGUUGUCCGGAAUUAUUGGGCGUAAAGAGCUCGUAGGCGGUUUGUCGCGUCGGCCGUGAAAACUUGGGGCUUAACCCCGAGCCUGCGGUCGAUACGGGCAGACUUGAGUUCGGCAGGGGAGACUGGAAUUCCUGGUGUAGCGGUGAAAUGCGCAGAUAUCAGGAGGAACACCGGUGGCGAAGGCGGGUCUCUGGGCCGAUACUGACGCUGAGGAGCGAAAGCGUGGGGAGCGAACAGG
rnacentral:rRNA from 1 species